CGUAGGCUCACGAGCUGGUUGGGCACUACAGCCACUCCUGCCUCUGGUGGUUUGGCCCCUGGUGUCCCAUUCUGCGGCUCUUCCACCCGGAGGCCAUUAAGCCCGUGCUGCUGGAGUCAGCUGACGUUGCGCCCAAGGACUACAUGUUCUAUGGCUUCCUAAAGCCCUGGCUGGGGGAUGGCUUGCUGCUGAGCAAUGGUCGGAAAUGGGCCCGGCACCGGCGCAUGCUGACGCCCGCCUUUCACUUCGAAAUCCUCAAGCCCUAUGUGAAGAUCUUCAACCAGAGCACUGACAUCAUGCACGUGAGUGCGCCCGCCGUGCCAAAGCCAUCCCUGGGGCCCUGCCCCCCG